rnacentral:rRNA from 1 species
AAAUUCUCAACGAUGGAUAUCUUGGUUCCCAUAACGAUGAAGAACGCAGCGAAGUGCGAUAAGCAGUGCGAAUUGCAGAACCGUGAGUCAUCAGAUUUUUGAACGCAACUGGCGCCGGUUGGCUCUCCAGCCGGCAUGCUUGUUUCAGUG